AGUUUUGAUCCUGGCUCAGAACGAACGCUGGCGGCGCGUCUUAAGCAUGCAAGUCGAGCGGCAAGCGUCAGCGAUGACGCCUAGAGCGGCGGACUGGUGAGUAACGCGUGRGUGACCUACCCUGGGGAUGGGGAUAGCCCCUAGAAAUAGGGGGUAAUACCGAAUAAGGUUGCGAGGCUAUGGCUUUGCGAAGAAAGGCGCUUAGGCGCCGCCCCGGGAUGGGCCCGCGUCCCAUUAGCUAGUUGGAGGGGUAAAGGCCCGACCAAGGCGAUGAUGGGUAGCCGGCCUGAGAGGGUGAACGGCCACACUGGGACUGAGAUACGGCCCAGACUCCUACGGGAGGCAGCAGCUAAGAAUAUUCCGCAAAUGGGCGAAAGCCUGACGGAGCGACGCCGCGUGGAUGACGAAGGCCGAAAGGUUGUAAAAUUCUUUUACCAGCGAAGAAUAAAUGAGGGAGGGAAUGUCCUCAUGAUGACGUUAGCUGGUGAAUAAGCCCCGGCUAAUUACGUGCCAGCAGCCGCGGUAACACGUAAGGGGCGAGCGUUGUUCGGAAUUAUUGGGCGUAAAGGGCGCGUAGGCGGUUAUAUAAGUCUGGCGUGAAAGGCGGGAGCUUAACUUCUGGACUGCGCUGGAAACUGUGUAACUUGAGUCAUGGAGGGGGAGUUGGAAUUCCUGGUGUAGGGGUGAAAUCUGUAGAUAUCAGGAAGUAACACCGGUGGCGAAGGCGAACUUCUAGCCAAUGACUGACGCUGAGGCGCGAAAGUGCGGGGAGCAAACAGGAUUAGAUACCCUGGUAGUCCGCACUAUAAACGAUGUACACUAGGUGUUGGGCCGAGCGGUUCAGUGCCGAAGCGAACGUGAUAAGUGUACCGCCUGGGGAGUAUGC
rnacentral:rRNA from 1 species